rnacentral:rRNA from 1 species
CCUACGGGAGGCAGCAGUGAGGAAUAUUGGUCAAUGGACGAGAGUCUGAACCAGCCAAGUAGCGUGAAGGAUGACUGCCCUAUGGGUUGUAAACUUCUUUUAUAUGGGGAUAAAACGUUCCACGUGUGGGAUUUUGUAUGUACCAUAUGAAUAAGGAUCGGCUAACUCCGUGCCAGCAGCCGCGGUAAUACGGAGGAUCCGAGCGUUAUCCGGAUUUAUUGGGUUUAAAGGGAGCGUAGGUGGAUUGUUAAGUCAGUUGUGAAAGUUUGCGGCUCAACCGUAAAAUUGCAGUUGAAACUGGCAGUCUUGAGUACAGUAGAGGUGGGCGGAAUUCGUGGUGUAGCGGUGAAAUGCUUAGAUAUCACGAAGAACUCCGAUUGCGAAGGCAGUUCACUGGACUGCAACUGACACUGAGGCUCGAAAGUGUGGGUAUCAAACAGGAUUAGAUACCCGAGUAGUC